AACGAACGCUGGCGGCAUGCCUAACACAUGCAAGUCGAACGAGACCUUCGGGUCUAGUGGCGCACGGGUGCGUAACGCGUGGGAACCUGCCCUUAGGUUCGUAAUAACUCCCCGAAAGGGGUGCUAAUACCGGAUAAUGUCUUCGGACCAAAGAUUGAUCGCCUUUGGAUGGGCCCGCGUUGGAUUAGCUAGUUGGUAGGGUAAAAGCCUACCAAGGCGACGAUCCAUAGCUGGUCUGAGAGGAUGAUCAGCCACACUGGGACUGAGACACGGCCCAGACUCCUACGGGAGGCAGCAGUGGGGAAUAUUGGACAAUGGGCGAAAGCCUGAUCCAGCAAUGCCGCGUGAGUGAUGAAGGCCUUAGGGUUGUAAAGCUCUUUUACCCGGGAUGAUAAUGACAGUACCGGGAGAAUAAGCUCCGGCUAACUCCGUG
rnacentral:rRNA from 1 species